GCAAGUCGAACGCGAACGUCACUUCGGUGGCUAGUAGAGUGGCGAACGGGUGAGUAACACGUGGACAACCUGCCUGGAUGUGGGGGAUAACUUGGGGAAACCGAAGCUAAUACCGCAUUCGUACGGAGAUCGCAUGGUCUCUGUAGAAAGACCGCCUCUCCUUGGAAGCGGUCGCAUUCAGAGGGGUCCGCGGCUGAUUAGCUAGUUGGUGGGGUAACGGCCUACCAAGGCCACGAUCAGUAGGGGGCGUGAGAGCGUGGCC
rnacentral:rRNA from 1 species